rnacentral:rRNA from 1 species
UGACCUGGGCUACACACGUGCUACAAUGGGAAGUACAACGAGUCGCUAGACCGCGAGGUCAUGCAAAUCUCUUAAAGCUUCUCUCAGUUCGGAUUGCAGGCUGCAACUCGCCUGCAUGAAGCCGGAAUCGCUAGUAAUCGCGGAUCAGCACGCCGCGGUGAAUACGUUCCCGGGCCUUGUACACACCGCCCGUCACACCACGAGAGUUUGUAACACCCGAAGUCGGUGAGGUAACCUUUUUGGAGCCAGCCGCCUAAGGUGGGAUAGAUGAUUGGGGUGAAGUCGUAACAAGGUAGCCGUAUCGGAAGGUGCGGCUGGAUCACCUCCUUUCUAAGGAA